rnacentral:rRNA from 1 species
UACAGAGGUCUCAAGCGUUGUUCGGAUUCAUUGGGCGUAAAGGGUGCGUAGGCGGCGUGGUAAGUCGGAUGUGAAAUCUCGGAGCUUAACUCCGAAACUGCAUUCGAUACUGGCGUGCUUGAGGACUGGAGAGGAGACUGGAAUUCAUGGUGUAGCAGUGAAAUGCGUAGAGAUCAUGAGGAAGACCAGUGGCGAAGGCGGGUCUCUGGACAGUUCCUGACACUGAGACACGAAGGCCAGGGGAGCAAACGGG